GAUGAACGCUGACAGAAUGCUUAACACAUGCAAGUCCACUUGAACUUCGGUUUGGGUGGCGGACGGGCGAGUAACGCGUAAAGAACUUGCCUCACAGAUAGGGACAACAUUUGGAAACGAAUGCUAAUACCUGAUAUUAUGAUUUUAGGGCAUCCUAGGAUUAUGAAAGCUAUAUGCGCUGUGAGAGAGCUUUGCGUCCCAUUAGCUAGUUGGAGAGGUAACGGCUCACCAAGGCGAUGAUGGGUAGCCGGCCUGAGAGGGUGAUCGGCCACAAGGGGACUGAGACACGGCCCUUACUCCUACGGGAGGCAGCAGUGGGGAAUAUUGGACAAUGGACCAAGAGUCUGAUCCAGCAAUUCUGUGUGCACGAUGAAGUUUUUCGGAAUGUAAAGUGCUUUCAGUUGGGAAGAAAAAAAUGACGGUACCAACAGAAGAAGUGACGGCUAAAUACGUG
rnacentral:rRNA from 1 species